CAGGUGUCAGAUAACACGUGACAAGCAUCAUCAGGUGAAAGAUAACACGUGACAAGCAUCAUCAGGUGUCAGAUAACACGUGACAAGCAUCAUCAGGUGUCAGAUAACACGUGACAAGCAUCAUCAGGUGUCAGAUAACACGUGACAAGCAAAAUCAGGUGUCAGAUAACACGUGACAAGCAAAAUCAGGUGUCAGAUAACACGUGACAAGCAUCAUCAGGUGUCAGAUAACACGUGACAAGCAAAAUCAGGUGUCAGAUAACACGUGACAAGCAUCAUCAGGUGUCAGAUAACACGUGACAAGCAAAAUCAGGUGUCAGAUAACACGUGACAAGCAAAAUCAGGUGUCAGAUAACACGUGACAAGCAUCAUCAGGUGUCAGAUAACACGUGACAAGCAUCAUCAGGUGUCAGAUAACACGUGACAAGCAAAAUCAGGUGUCAGAUAACACGUGACAAGCAUCAUCAGGUGUCAGAUAACACGUGACAAGCAAAAUCAGGUGUCAGAUAACACGUGACAAGCAUCAUCAGGUGUCAGAUAACACGUGACAAGCAAAAUCAGGUGUCAGAUAACACGUGACAAGUAUCACCAGGUGUACAAUAUCAUGUGACAAGCAUCAUCAGUUGUAAGAAAACACCCAACAUGUAUAAUCAGUUGUAAGAUAACACUUCACAAGUAUGUUGCCAUAUAUCACAUAAGUAUCCCAUAAAUAACACCUACAUGUGGCAUGCACUCUGUAAUGCAACACUGUUUCAUCUCGAGGCAAAGGUGUUGGAGAACUUUAACCCUCCCUUGGACCCAACAAGACUACAGAACGACUGAGGCAGCUGCCAUGAGAGUCAUUGAGAGAGAAUUUCCUGAUGCCAUCAUCAAGGGCUGCUAUUUCCACUACUCACAGGCCCUGUGGAGGAAGAUUCUCCCCCUGAUUUAUCAGCGCAUCGAGGAAUUCAAAGACUACAUGGUCCGCACGUGGGUC